GGGGGGAGCACCGGAUCUUGGGCUGUGUCUCCCCACCCCUGGGCUCCGGGGCCUGCGCUGCUGGAAUCGUGCACCUGGGCAGUGCAGCUCCCU
rnacentral:pre_miRNA from 1 species